ACAACAGAGGGUGAGUCAUGAAGACCAAUAGGAUCCUAUUGUGCAUUUAAACUUGAUAUUAGCUCAGAGUGAUCAAAGCAACUACAUCCAUUUGAUACUGUACGAUGACACUGACAGAUGUUUGCACAAGGCUGGAAUACAGCAGAUAUGUUUCUGGAGAUCCUGGAUUCAAAAAAGCAAUAAUUUCCAUGCAAAUACUUAUUUUCCAUAGAUUUCCAUUAUAUUAAAGAGGAUACCUCGAAAAAUCUCCACUGCAAGCACUGGUUUGGCAAAACAUUUGGGACAUUGCAGCACUGACAACAUUAAGCCACAGACAGAGUACUCUGUCUAGGAGAGAAGAAAACUCUUCAGAUACAGCCUGGGUUGUGAUAGACUGCAAGAAACCAAGCAUGACCCUCUCCAUUAGAUAACCCAGCAGUACAGACCGAGUGACUUCCCCAAUAGCCAGAAACUGACCAGUUUAGCAAGUGUAGAAAAGAGAUGUGAAGUGUUGCUGCCUGGUCACCGCUGUAGCGUGGCAGCAGUGAAGCACUGGUGGUAAGUACUGAGCAGUAAUCUGGAGGUGAAAGAAACGCACACCUGUUUAGGCGAGGUGCUGGCUAGCGGAGUAGAACACUAGGAGCUCAGAUGCAAUAAUUUAAUAACCUAAUAACCAACGUUUCGACAGACAAGCUGUCUUCAUCAGGGUUUAAUGAGCAGUACUCAGGGAGAAGGAAAGGAAAUAUGCUCUGCUGUCUGCUCUAAGACUUGGAAGAUAGGAUGGCAGGCCCUGCCAACACAGCUGUCCGGAUUGCCAGUCACUCAGCGAAUGAUGCUCCCCGCUCGCCCACAUCACAGAACCUGCAAAUCUUUCAACAUGGCAGCCGGGCACACCAGGACACAAAGCUGUAAACGAACCCUGGAAAGACAGGCUCCAGCUCAGUAGUGUGCUGGUGGAGUGUGAGGGCUUUACACAUCACUGUCAGGGAGAGGAUGAGAUUGGUAAAAUCACCCUUUCUUUUAAAUGCUAUGGAAUUUCUUUGUCAAUGCCUUGACUGAGUCAGGAAUGUACAUUUUGAUGAAGUCUUAUAGACCCAUUUCAUUGUAAAAGGCCCAGUGCAGUUUCCUGUGUUUUAUGUAUAUUUCCACACUAUGAGUUUGAAAUAAUACAGUGAAAUUGUGAAAAUUAUGA